UACGUAGGGUGCAAGCGUUGUCCGGAAUUAUUGGGCGUAAAGAGCUCGUAGGCGGUUUGUCGCGUCUGCUGUGAAAACUCGGGGCUUAACCCCGGGCCUGCAGUGGGUACGGGCAGACUAGAGUGCGGUAGGGGAGACUGGAAUUCCUGGUGUAGCGGUGAAAUGUGCAGAUAUCAGGAGGAACACCGGUGGCGAAGGCGGGUCUCUGGGCCGUAACUGACGCUGAGGAGCGAAAGCGUGGGGAGCGAACAGG
rnacentral:rRNA from 1 species